rnacentral:rRNA from 1 species
UACGGAGGGAGCAAGCGUUACUCGGAAUUAUUGGGCGUAAAGGGCGCGUAGGCGAUUGUGCAAGUCUCCUGUGAAAGCCCUCGGCUUAACCGAGGAAGUGCAGAAGAUACUGCUCAAUUUGAGUUCCGGAGAGGAAGGCAGAAUUCCCGGUGUAGCGGUGAAAUGCGUAGAGAUCGGGAGGAAUACCAGUGGCGAAGGCGGCCUUCUGGACGGAUACUGACGCUGAGGCGCGAAAGCUAGGGGAGCAAACGGG